GAUGAACGCUGGCGGCGUGCCUAAUACAUGCAAGUCGAGCGAACAGAUAAGGAGCUUGCUCCUUUGACGUUAGCGGCGGACGGGUGAGUAACACGUGGGUAACCUACCUAUAAGACUGGGAUAACUUCGGGAAACCGGAGCUAAUACCGGAUAACAUUUGGAACCGCAUGGUUCUAAAGUGAAAGAUGGUUUUGCUAUCACUUAUAGAUGGACCCGCGCCGUAUUAGCUAGUUGGUAAGGUAACGGCUUACCAAGGCAACGAUACGUAGCCGACCUGAGAGGGUGAUCGGCCACACUGGAACGGAGCCACGGUCCAGACUCCUACGGGAGGCAGCAGUAGGGAAUCUUCCGCAAUGGGCGAAAGCCUGACGGAGCAACGCCGCGUGAGUGAUGAAGGGUUUCGGCUCGUAAAACUCUGUUAUUAGGGAAGAACAAACGUGUAAGUAACUGUGCACGUCUUGACGGUACCUAAUCAGAAAGCCACGGCUAACUACGUG
rnacentral:rRNA from 1 species